rnacentral:misc_RNA from 1 species
CGAAGGUCCCGGAAACGCGAAGGUGCGCAACGCUGUGACUUUAUGUGUCGGCGUCGAGCGCGGCUGAACCAGCGCGAUGUCGGGAAACCAACCGACAUAGCCGUCGGCCUUGAGCUNGCUGACCCCAGGCCCAUCCUUCCGCGUCGCGAUCAUAGAUCGUCACGCGUUCGCCUUUCAGCGCUUCGGUGUCCAGUGCCGCAUCGUGCGAGGGUUCGCGCCGGACCGGCGCAACGGGAUCGAAGACUUCAAGCUCGAUCCCUU